AGCAGCGUAGCACAGUGGAAGCGUGGUGGGCUCAUAACCCACAGGUAGUAUGAUCGAAAUAUACCGCUGCUA
rnacentral:tRNA from 1 species